rnacentral:rRNA from 1 species
AUUGAACGCUGGCGGCAUGCCUUACACAUGCAAGUCGAACGGUAACAGGUUAAGCUGACGAGUGGCGAACGGGUGAGUAAUGUAUCGGAACGUGCCCAGUCGUGGGGGAUAACUGCUCGAAAGAGCAGCUAAUACCGCAUACGACCUGAGGGUGAAAGCGGGGGUUCGCAAGACCUCGCGCGAUUGGAGCGGCCGAUAUCAGAUUAGGUAGUUGGUGAGGUAAAGGCUCACCAAGCCGACGAUCUGUAGCUGGUCUGAGAGGACGACCAGCCACACUGGGACUGAGACACGGCCCAGACUCCUACGGGAGGCAGCAGUGGGGAAUUUUGGACAAUGGGCGCAAGCCUGAUCCAGCCAUGCCGCGUGCGGGAAGAAGGCCUUCGGGUUGUAAACCGCUUUUGUCAGGGAAGAAAAGGUUCUGGCUAAUACCUGGGACUCAUGACGGUACCUGAAGAAUAAGCACCGGCUAACUACGUG